UGGGGAAUUUUGUGCAAUGGGCGAAAGCCUGACACAGCGACACCGCGUGGAUGAAGAAGCCCUUUGGGGUGUAAAAUCCUGUCGGCUGGAACGAAACAAAUGACGGUACCAGCAGAGGAAGCAUCGGCUAACUACGUGCCAGCAGCAGCGGUAAGACGGAGGAUGCGAGCGUUGUCCGGAUUUAUUGGGCGGAAAGAGUUCGGUGGCGGUUUGUUAAGACUGUUGUUAAAGAUCGGGGGUGAAGCCUGG
rnacentral:rRNA from 1 species